CGGGAUGUAGCGCAGCUUGGUAGCGCAUCUGCUUUGGGAGCAGAGGGUCGCAGGUUCGAAUCCUGUCAUCCCGA
rnacentral:tRNA from 6 species